UGGGGAAUCUUGCACAAUGGGGGCAACCCUGAUGCAGCGACGCCGCGUGAGCGAUGAAGCCCUUCGGGGCGUAAAGCUCUUUCGACCGGAACGAUAAUGACGGUACCGGGAGAAGAAGCUGCGGCUAACUACGUGCCAGCAGCCGCGGUAAUACGUAGGCAGCAAGCGUUGUUCGGAGUUACUGGGCGUAAAGAGUGCGUAGGCGGUUUUCUAAGUUCGGUGUGAAAUCUCCCGGCUUAACUGGGAGGGUGCGCCGAAGACUGGGAAGCUGGAGUGUGGGAAAGGCAGGCGGAAUUCCUGGUGUAGCGGUGAAACGCGUAGAUAUCAGGAGGCACACCGGCGGUGUAGACGGCUUGCUAGACCAUAACUGACGCUGAGGCACGAAAGCGUGGGUAGCAAACA
rnacentral:rRNA from 1 species